rnacentral:rRNA from 1 species
GCUGCUUUGCUGACGAGUGGCGGACGGGUGAGUAAUGUCUGGGAAACUGCCUGAUGGAGGGGGAUAACUACUGGAAACGGUGGCUAAUACCGCAUAACGUCGCAAGACCAAAGAGGGGGACCUUCGGGCCUCUUGCCAUCAGAUGUGCCCAGAUGGGAUUAGCUUGUUGGUGAGGUAACGGCUCACCAAGGCGACGAUCCCUAGCUGGUCUGAGAGGAUGACCAGCCACACUGGAACUGAGACACGGUCCAGACUCCUACGGGAGGCAGCAGUGGGGAAUAUUGCACAAUGGGCGCAAGCCUGAUGCAGCCAUGCCGCGUGUAUGAAGAAGGCCUUCGGGUUGUAAAGUACUUUCAGCGGGGAGGAAGGUGUUGUGGUUAAUAACCGCAGCAAUUGACGUUACCCGCAGAAGAAGCACCGGCUAACUCCGUGCCAGCAGCCGCGGUAAUACGGAGGGUGCAAGCGUUAAUCGGAAUUACUGGGCGUAAAGCGCACGCAGGCGGUCUGUCAAGUCGGAUGUGAAAUCCCCGGGCUCAACCUGGGAACUGCAUUCGAAACUGGCAGGCUUGAGUCUUGUAGAGGGGGGUAGAAUUCCAGGUGUAGCGGUGAAAUGCGUAGAGAUCUGGAGGAAUACCGGUGGCGAAGGCGGCCCCCUGGACAAAGACUGACGCUCAGGUGCGAAAGCGUGGGGAGCAAACAGGAUUAGAUACCCUGGUAGUCCACGCCGUAAACGAUGUCUACUUGGAGGUUGUGCCCUUGAGGCGUGGCUUCCGGAGCUAACGCGUUAAGUAGACCGCCUGGGGAGUACGGCCGCAAGGUUAAAACUCAAAUGAAUUGACGGGGGCCCGCACAAGCGGUGGAGCAUGUGGUUUAAUUCGAUGCAACGCGAAGAACCUUACCUGGUCUUGACAUCCACAGAACUUUCCAGAGAUGGAUUGGUGCCUUCGGGAACUGUGAGACAGGUGCUGCAUGGCUGUCGUCAGCUCGUGUUGUGAAAUGUUGGGUUAAGUCCCGCAACGAGCGCAACCCUUAUCCUUUGUUGCCAGCGGUCCGGCCGGGAACUCAAAGGAGACUGCCAGUGAUAAACUGGAGGAAGGUGGGGAUGACGUCAAGUCAUCAUGGCCCUUACGACCAGGGCUACACACGUGCUACAAUGGCGCAUACAAAGAGAAGCGACCUCGCGAGAGCAAGCGGACCUCAUAAAGUGCGUCGUAGUCCGGAUUGGAGUCUGCAACUCGACUCCAUGAAGUCGGAAUCGCUAGUAAUCGUGGAUCAGAAUGCCACGGUGAAUACGUUCCCGGGCCUUGUACACACCGCCCGUCACACCAUGGGAGUGGGUUGCAAAAGAAGUAGGUAGCUUAACCUUCGGGGGGGCGCUUACCACUUUGUGAUUCAUGACUGGGGUGAAGUCGUAACAAGGUAACCGUAGGGGAACCUGCGGUUGGAUCACCUCCUUACCUUAAAGAAGC